rnacentral:ncRNA from 1 species
AUUAGAACGUUGAAGAGGAAUAGUAAUUAGAUUUCCCAUGUAAGAGAGCGAGGUUCAUCGGCUGCAAAACCUUGUCAUGGAGGAGCUAAUGAACCUACCUCAGAGUCUUAGAGGGAAAAUCUAAGCGUGUGUACCGGCGUUAACGGAAAAAGUGGAGUAUAAUAACUUGUGCUCAAAUAAGGUGGUACCGCGGAAAAAGCCCUCUCCGUCCUUUUG